rnacentral:misc_RNA from 1 species
CGAACUGCGAUAAGUAAUGUGAAUUGCAGAAUUCAGUGAAUCAUCGAAUCUUUGAACGCACCUUGCGCUCCUUGGUAUUCCUUGGAGCAUGCCUGUUUGAGUAUCAUGAAAUCUUCAAAGUAAAUCUUUUGUUAACUCAAUUGGUUUCUACUUUGGUAUUGGAGGUCUUUGCAGCUUCACACCUGCUCCUCUUUGUUCAUUAGCUGGAUCUCAGUGUUAUGCUUGGUUCCACUCGGCGUGAUAAGUUAUCUAUCGCUGAGGACACUGUAAAAGGUGGCCAAGGUAAAUGCAGAUGAACCGCUUCUAAUAGUCCAUUGACUUGGGCAAUACUUUUAUGAUCUGAUCUCAAAUCAGGUAGGACUACCCGCUGAACUUAAGC